rnacentral:tRNA from 1 species
AGCUAGCUCAUUCGGUUAGAGCAUCAGAUUCUUAAUCUGACUGUAACGGGUUCGAAUCCCGUGCU